UACAGAGGUCCCAAGCGUUGUCCGGAAUCAUUGGGCGUAAAGAGCGUGUAGGCGGCCCGGUAAGUCCGCUGUGAAAGUCCAGGGCUCAACCCUGGGAUGCCGGUGGAUACUGUCGGGCUCGAGUCCGGAAGAGGAGUGUGGAAUUCCUGGUGUAGCGGUGAAAUGCGCAGAUAUCAGGAGGAACACCAAUGGCGAAGGCAGCACUC
rnacentral:rRNA from 1 species